rnacentral:rRNA from 1 species
GACGAACGCUGGCGGCGUGCUUAACACAUGCAAGUCGAACGGAAAGGCCCUGCUUUUGUGGGGUGCUCGAGUGGCGAACGGGUGAGUAACACGUGAGUAACCUGCCCUUGACUUUGGGAUAACUUCAGGAAACUGGGGCUAAUACCGGAUAGGAGCUCCUGCUGCAUGGUGGGGGUUGGACAGUUUCGGCGGUUGGGGGUGGGCUCGCGGCUUAUCAGCUUGUUGGUGGGGUAGUGGCUUACCAAGGCUUUGACGGGUAGCCGGCCUGAGAGGGUUACCGGCCACAUUGGGACUGAGAGACGGCCCAGACUCCUACGGGAGGCAGCAGUGGGGAAUAUUGCACAAUGGGCGGAAGCCAGAUGCAGCAACGCCGCGUGCGGGAUGACGGCCUUCGGGUUGUAAACCGCUUUCGCCUGUGACGAAGCGUGAGUGACGGUAAUGGGUAAAGAAGCACCGGCUAACUACGUG